UGCUGAUCUAGGAUCAGUUUAGCCUUUUAUAUCAUAGUCACUAUUCUAUCCUACGUAUUCUAGAUAUACUAAAUAUUCUAUCCACAUACUGUCCUUAAUGUCUUUACAGCUAGAUAUUACUGAACUGCUGGGAGCUAGGAACACACGCAUUUACCUACACCUGCAAUAACAUCUACUAAAUAUGUGUAUGCGACCAAUAAAAUAUCAUUUGAUGUUGAAUCAGAUUAUUAUGGACAGGGAGGCCCUGAUCCUAGAUCAGCAGUCCUACUAAAGCUUUAUGAAUACAGGCCCAGGUCUGACUCAAAACAAGACAUUUGGUAUUCCUUCUGUGUUUAGUAUUAAAACUCAGCAGUGUGCUGUAGUGUUGAACGGGAUUCUCUGCACUUUGGUGCAGCGUCACUGAUCCAGUCAAAAUGUGACCGAAACGUGUCACGGAUCUCCUCACACAGCUUGGAACUGAGCCCUGGAACAAUGACCGCACAAACAGUCAGCAAACUCAUCAUCGCCAAUUAUGUUAUGCUGCCUAGAUGACUAGACGUUUCCUAUCAGCAUAAAGGACAUUUCUCUGAAGAGCGCGACUACACACCAUCAGGGCCAGUUUCCCAGACCCAGAUAAUAUGUUCAGUCCUGGACUACAAAGCUAUUUCAAUGGAGAUUCUCCAUUGACUGUGUUGUUUAGUCCAGGACUAGGCUUAAUCUGUGUCUGGGAAACUGGCCCUUAUUACUGGUCACUGACCUCUAUUCUUUCCAAAUUAUGCUAGAGCCCAUGUCUGCAUCUCAAAUUACAAAAUUUGCCCUAUAAAGUGCACUACUUUUGAGUAGAGUCCCAUAUCCCUAUGGGCACUGGUCAACAGUAGGGCACUACAUAGAGAACAGGGUGCCAUUUGGGACUGGUCCCAUGCUUACCCACCAGAUCCUGUGUCCCCCACUCAGGCUGUGAAGUAGCACCCCUCCAAUGUCGUAAUCUAUUCUCUCCACCUCCAUCGUCUGCUGGAGUAAACUAUUACUCUCCUCGCCCCAAUGUGGGUUUAAACAGCGUAUCAUAACAACUCAGACCAUUCUGUAAAAGGUAUCCAGGGCUCUACAAUGCGAGUAUUUCACUCGCAUUUGCCCUUAAAUUGAUUUGUGCGAACCGGAAAAAUGAUUUACGAGCACAGUGUGCGAGUAAAGAUUACAAUCUACCGUAAUCUAUUAUUUUUUUCCCACAAGCGCCAACCACAGUAGGGUUUUCAGUGCUGACGCAGUCCAGUCAGAGUGAGAGAAAGGUGAACAACACUGGGGGAAAAGUAUUGGUAUAGGCUGUAAAUGAACGUGCAGACAUCGCUAAAAAUGAAGCCCAUUCAAUUGUAUUUUAAGCGAAUAAGAGACGAGGAGAAAGAGUAAUCAGGCGAGGGGGAUUCGCAAGGUUCAACUAAUGAAGCCUCUUCACAAGAUUUACGUGAGGCGGUUAGCGAAGCUACGGUGACCCCGGCUGUCACUUCAACGUCCACUGUAGCCGGCGGAGGGAGAACAUAUAGAUUCAAUGCGAAUUGGCUCAAAAUGUUCCCAUGGCUAGAGUUAGAAAACAAUGUAAUGUUCUGCAAAUAUUGUAGAAGGCUGAAACAGGCGGGCAACUCGUCCUUCGUGUCAGGAAAAAGAGAGAUAGCGCAGCGAAACAUAACAUCUGGCUGCGGCAUAUCCAGUGCAGAGAUCUGAACAUGUUGAGACAGGAGACACCAUAAAGCACGGUGUCAGCAGCCUUGAGGAGACAAGUGUUUCUGUCUGAGGAGGAGACAAACAUAACAUACUAAAUUGCGAAAGAACCUUUAGUCAAAUUUGUUCGGACAACAGACUUCGGGACACUCAACGCCAUUGGUGUUUUGGAUGCCACCAAGGCCGCAUAUCGUGCUGUUUGCCCAGAGGAAGAUGGCGGGUCAUGGAUGAAGAAGUGCGUCUCCUUCGGGGCAGAUGGUGCCACCGUGGGGGAGUGAUUGACCACCUGCAGAGGGGCAGGGGGGCAUAUAAUCCCAAUCCACUGUAUGCCACAUAUAUUUGUAACUAAUAAAUGAUCUGAUUUAGUUUUAUUUGCUAGCAGAUAAUGUUAAACAAUACUGUGUGUGUCUGUGUGUGCGCUAAGUGCUGGAAUGGUAAAUACCACAGAAUUAUUGUAUUCUGUUGACACAAGAGAUGGAGGGGAUGAAUUGUUUGGAAGAUUCAGUUCUGACUUUCACAGGCUAGAGCUGGCAAUACUGACCAUUCAGAAGAAAGAGCCAAAUGUGUCUGUAUGAUCUUCUGAAUGUGAUAUGUAUCACUUCAGAAGAUGUAUCAUUUCAGCGGAAAAUCCAAACGAUGUUGUUCUAUGUUCUCGGGCAAGAGCUCAGUGUAGAUAUUUGCACACCGUCUAGCGUCAAGGAAACUCGCUGGAUCCCCCAUGUCCACAGAGCCCUCCAAGUGUUCCUGAGGCAUGGACAAGACAAGGACCUUACCGCCGACGAAGGCCAGUACUCCGUUGUUCUGCAACACAUCAACAACAGCGGAUGUUCAAGGGCAGGCAAAAGAAGAUCGGGGUGCAACAUGGCUGCAAUCCAGGAUGAGUGGCAGGGGCUGUCAGCCACAAUUUCAAGGACAAGUCUUAGUGGCAUGUGGGAGACCAUGUUGACAAAGGACCCCUACAGGCACGAUUACAAGAACAUACUGGAGUUGGUGCAGCUUAUGCUGGUGCUGCCCAUUUCAGCCGCCCAGUGUGAGUGAGGCUUCUCUGUGCAGAACCGGAUUAAGAUUGACAAGAAGUUGCCUUGGGGUCUCUAUCACCGAAGACCUGAUGAGGAUCAGCCUGGGGGUCUUCUGUCGAGGAGUUGGAUCCCACUCCUGCCGUGGACCGCUGGCUGACCUCUAAGCGUGCCAGACGGCCAACAUACAAAAGCAGCUGGACAACUGAUAUCCUUUGCGUCUAGUAGCCAUGAGUCAAUGUAUGAUUGGUGGUAUGUGUCCCUUAUGUGUCCCUUAGUACACACACGCAGUAAAAAUAUGUAUGUAAUAAAUUGUUUGUUAAUAAACUCUGUGUUACUUGAACAUU
ensembl:lncRNA